CACGUAGGGCGCGAGCGUUGUCCGGAAUUAUUGGGCGUAAAGAGCUCGUAGGCGGCCUGUUGCGUCCGCUGUGAAAGCCCGGGGCUUAACCCCGGGUCGGCAGUGGAUACGGGCAGGCUAGAGGUAGGUAGGGGAGAAUGGAAUUCCUGGUGUAGCGGUGAAAUGCGCAGAUAUCAGGAGGAACACCGGUGGCGAAGGCGGGUCUCUGGGCCGAUAUUGACGCUGAGGAGCGAAAGCGUGGGGAGCGAACAGG
rnacentral:rRNA from 1 species